rnacentral:rRNA from 1 species
UACGUAGGUGGCAAGCGUUGUCCGGAAUUAUUGGGCGUAAAGCGCGCGCAGGCGGCCCUUUAAGUCUGAUGUGAAAGCCCACGGCUCAACCGUGGAAGGUCAUUGGAAACUGGAGGACUUGAGUACAGAAGAGGAAAGCGGAAUUCCACGUGUAGCGGUGAAAUGCGUAGAGAUGUGGAGGAACACCGGUGGCGAAGGCGGCCUGCUGGGCAGUUGCUGACGCUGAGGCGCGACAGCGUGGGGAGCAAACAGG